GUCAGGAGAGAGUGCCCCGCUACCCGCAAACGGCACCGCCGAAGGCGCAGGCCCAUCGCCAAACGCUCAGGCAAAAGGACUGACAG
rnacentral:ncRNA from 1 species